UACAGAGGUCUCAAGCGUUGUUCGGAUUCAUUGGGCGUAAAGAGCGUGUAGGCGGCUUUACAGGUCCGUUGUGAAAACUCGAGGCUCAACCUCGAGACGCCGGUGGAAACCGUAAAGCUAGAGUCCGGAAGAGGAGAGUGGAAUUCCUGGUGUAGCGGUGAAAUGCGCAGAUAUCAGGAGGAACACCGGUGGCGAAGGCGGGUCUCUGGGCAGUAACUGACGCUGAGGAGCGAAAGCGUGGGGAGCGAACAGG
rnacentral:rRNA from 1 species